ensembl:lncRNA
CUAUAUUAUAUAAUACAGUAGGCCUACUACGCUAACAUAUGGAAUUAUUUUAAGAGCCAAUCAUUAUAAACGGUAUAUCAUCUAUAUUAUAUAAUACAGUAAGCCUACUAAGCUAACAUAUGGAAUUAUUUUAAGAGCCAAUCAUUAUAAACGGUAUAUCAUCUAUAUUAUAUAAUACAGUAGGCCUACUACGCUAACAUAUGGAAUUGUUUUAGGAGCCAAUCAUUAUAAACGGUACAUCAUCUAUAUUAUAUAAUACAGUAAGCCUACUGAGCUAACAUAUGGAAUUGUUUUAAGAGCCAAUCAUAAUAAACGGUACACCAUCUAUAUUAUAUAAUACAGUAGGCCUACUACGCUAACAUAUGGAAUUGUUUUAAGAGCCAAUAAUUAUAAACGGUACAUCAUCUAUAUUAUAUAAUACAGUAAGCCCACUAAGCUAACAUAUGGAAUUGUUUUAAGAGCCAAUCAUUAUAAACGGUACAUCAUCUAUAUUAUAUAAUACACAUAUGGAAUUGUUUUAAGAAGGUCAUCAUACCAAGGGCUAUUUAGAUAUUUGAUUUGGAAUUUUAAGACACCUUUAAGUACCCCCCCCCCCCCCCCCCCCCAACAUAAAAUAUAUGAAAAAAUGAAUUGAUAAAAAAAUUACUUUGAACAUUACUGCUAAUAGCCCAUAAUAGCCCAUACAAACGCAUUGCAUAACAGAUUCACUAAUGGAACAACAGAUAGACCCCCUAAAGGAAGUUUGUUCUGAAGUGUAUGCCCUAUUUCUGAGAGAUAUAAGAAAGAUCAAGAUUUAUUUUUAAAGGUUUUAGUAUUUUUUAAACAUGUUCUUAACCCCUUAUUUUUUGUCACUAAACAGGCUCUAUAUACACUUCCAUUCAUUUUAAUCAACUGGUACCGGGGGGACAUUCAGAUGAGUCUUGUGAGGCCUGUGGUCGUCCAAGAGGAACAACAACUGGUACCGGGGGACAUUCAGACAAGUCUUGUGAGGCCUGUGGGACAUUCAGAUGAGUCUUGUGAGGCCUGUGGGACAUUCAGACAAGUCUUGUGAGGCCUGUGGGCUUCCAGGAGGGACAACAACUGGUACCGGGGGACAUUCAGACAAGUCUUGUGAGGCCUGGGGGACAUUCAGACAAGUCUUGUGAGGCCUGGGGGACAUUCAGACAAGUCUUGUGAGGCCUGGGGGACAUUCAGACAAGUCUUGUGAGGCCUGUGGGCGUCCAAGAGGGAAACAACCGACGUGUUCGUGUUCGUUAGAGUCUCACCUUUCCACAGGUUAAUAUUAGGGUUUGGACAUUCAAACUGUUUGGAUGCUACAUACAUUAUUAUUGUUGUUUAUCAUUCCAAAUAGUAGUGGUAUGGGUGGUAAUGAUAGCAGUUUAGUGAUGGUGGUGGUGGUAGUAAUGAUAACAGGUUAGUGGUGGUAGUAAUGAUAACAGGUUAGUGGUGGUGGUGGUGGUAAUGAUGAAGGUAGUUGUAGUGGUAGUGGUGGUAUGGUUGGUAAUGGUAACAGGUUAGUGGUGGUGGUGGUGGUAGUAAUGGUAACAGGUUAGUGGUGGUGGUGGUGGUAGUGAUGAUAACAGUUUAGUGAUGGUGGUGGUGGUAAUGAUGAAGGUAGUUGUAGUGGUAGUGGUGGUAUGGGUGGUAAUGGUAACAGGUUAGUGGUGGUAGUAAUGAUAACAGUUUAGUGAUGGUGGUGGUGGUAAUGAUGAAGGUAGUUGUAGUGGUAGUAGUGGUAUGGGUGGUAAUGAUAGCAGGUUAGUGGUGGUGGUAGUAGUAGUAGUAUGGGUGGUAAUGAUAGCAGUUUAGUGGUGGUGGUAGUAGUAGUAGUAUGGGUGGUAAUGAUAGCAGGUUAGUGGUGGUGGUAGUAGUAGUAGUAUGGGUGGUAAUGAUAGCAGUUUAGUGGUGGUGGUAGUAGUAGUAGUAUGGGUGGUAAUGAUAGCAGUUUAGUGGUGGUGGUAGUAGUAGUAGUGGUAUGGGUGGUGAUGGUAACAGGUUAGUGAUGGUGGUAGUGGUGGUAAUGAUAACAGUUUAGUGAUGGUGGUGGUGGUGGUAAUGAUAACAGUUUAGUGAUGGUGGUGGUGGUGGUAAUGAUAACAGUUUAGUGAUGGUGGUGGUGGUGGUAAUGAUAACAGUUUAGUGAUGGUGGUGGUGGUGGUAAUGAUAACAGUUUAGUGAUGGUGGUGGUGGUGGUAAUGAUAACAGUUUAGUGAUGGUG